GCCGCGGUGGUGGAAUUGGUAGACACGCCAGAUUUAGGAUCUGGUGCCCUCUGGGUGUGAAGGUUCGAGCCCUUUCCGCGGUACAA
rnacentral:tRNA from 1 species